rnacentral:rRNA from 1 species
GGGGCUAGCGUUGCUCGGAAUGACUGGGCGUAAAGGGCGCGUAGGCGGUUUGUAAAGUCAGAUGUGAAAUUCCCGGGCUCAACCUGGGGGCUGCAUUUGAUACGUAUGGACUUGAGUUCGGAAGAGGGUCGUGGAAUUCCCAGUGUAGAGGUGAAAUUCGUAGAUAUUGGGAAGAACACCGGUGGCGAAGGCGGCGACCUGGUCCGAUACUGACGCUGAGGCGCGAAAGCGUGGGGAGCAAACAGG